CCCCCCCCCCGGGAGAGAAUGAUAGAGACUGUGCUGGCUUGAAAUUUGAUAUCUCGUGCUGGCACCACGGCCAGGAGGAGAAGGGUGGGGGGGGGGGGCAAGGUGCCCAGCUGCUGGCAGACUGGGCUGAGCUUUUAACUCUUUUGGUACUGAAACAAUGGAAGCUGUAAGAAACACUGAUCCUCCCCAGCUGAGAGUUUAGAGGGGACGGAGGAUGGGCAGAUGAGAAGAAGGCUUGAGUGAGUGAAGAAAUGCCAGCAGAUGAGAGUGCCCUAGAUGGAGGAGAUGAUUGGAGUGGCUUUGGCUGGACUUUUCUCUUACAUAGCCACGGGCGAAACCAAUUUCUUCUGAUAAUGCAGAGACUGCACCUUGGGGGAGACGGUUGGCCAGAAGCCAAGAAUUAUAAGGCCGCGAAGAGAGUUAGAGGGAACAGAGACUGAGGGGGAGGGUGUGGUGGAGCCCUCUGCCUUCAGUGAAGGAUCUCUGUUCCUAAGACCCAGGCCCCAGGGGAGUAAAAAUAUGGGGGGGACAGGCAUCCCAAAUGGUGAGAGAAGGCCACUUCUUCGAACUGGGCAAUAAAGCAUUCUUAAAAGGACCUAAGGAGCAGUUUGGAUCCAUGGACAGUGGUGAGAGCAUUGGACAUGGAAGGAAGAUGGUCACCACGGCAGAUUUUCUUCGGGCGGCUGCUGCGUGUGACACAGAAGCACGGGAGGUUCCACUGUGUUUCCGGGGGAGGCCCAUGGUGCAAGAGGGAAACUCCUCUCUCCUGAUGAACUGGGGGGAGCUUGUAUGAAGGAGGGUAUUGGACUGAGAAUUGAUGUGUUAGAGGGGAUUUGAAUGUUAGAGGACUGGGCGGAGGAGGAGUGUUUUGGGAGUGUUCCAUUGUGGAUUGUUGUGUGUGUGUGUUUUUUUUUUUUUUCCCUUAUGUUUCUGUGUUGUAGAUUAUUAAAGUGUUGUGUUUUUCCCUCCAUCCCCAAGUGGGAGCCUGCUUUGUUCUGUUUUCUGGGUCACAUCUCACAGUAACCAUUUUGGAAAUACACCUUUCAUGGGGGCACUGGCACUGUGCCAGGGUCAACCCAUGACAGUGCCUGAAGAAUUGCGCAGGCUCAUAAAAAUUAAUAAGGCAGUUUGAUACAUAUGCAUAUGUCUUUCAUGCAUAUGCAACAAGUUAAGGGAUAAAGUAGACUCGGGAAUUUUUGGGAGUGCGCAUGUCCUUUAGGGGGAGCUAUUCCCACAUGCACCCAACGCUAGAAUAAAUCAUACCGGCUUUACAACUUUUACAAGUUGUGGAGUUGUUUUUUCUCCAAAUAAUUUGUGGCAAGGCAGCCAGGAGGGUCUCUGUCCCCGCAGGAGCAGGGGGGCAUGGACCUCUUAGGCGCACCCCGGGAUCUUCCCUGGAGGAGCUCCAUGUCUCAGCUUGCCCCCUGUGGAGACAGACAGCGACCUUCUGGUGUGUGGAUCAAAUGUGUCUGUUGCCGCCAUCUGAAGUUCUUCAAACGGCCCUCACUGACUUUUCUGGACA